rnacentral:rRNA from 1 species
AUUGAACGCUGGCGGUAGGCCUAACACAUGCAAGUCGAACGGUAACAGGAAGCAGCUUGCUGCUUCGCUGACGAGUGGUGGACGGGUGAGUAAUGUCUGGGAAACUGCCUGAUGGAGGGGGAUAACUACUGGAAACGGUAGCUAAUACCGCAUAACGUCGCAAGACCAAAGAGGGGGACCUUCGGGCCUCUUGCCAUCGGAUGUGCCCAGAUGGGAUUAGCUAGUAGGUGGGGUAACGGCUCACCUAGGCGACGAUCCCUAGCUGGUCUGAGAGGAUGAACAGCCACACUGGAACUGAGACACGGUCCAGACUCCUACGGGAGGCAGCAGUGGGGAAUAUUGCACAAUGGGCGCAAGCCUGAUGCAGCCAUGCCGCGUGUAUGAAGAAGGCCUUCGGGUUGUAAAGUACUUUCAGCGGGGAGGAAGGCGAUAAGGUUAAUAACCUUGUCGAUUGACGUUACCCGCAGAAGAAGCACCGGCUAACUCCGUGCCAGCCGCCGCCGUAA